AAGCGUGCGCAGGCGGUUUGUAAGACUGUCGUGAAAUACCCCGGGCGUCAACCUGGGAAUGGCGAUGGUGACUGCAAGGCUAGAGUUUGGCAGAGGGGGGUAGAAUUCCACGUGUAGCAGUGAAAUGCGUAGAUAUGUGGAGGAACACCGAUGGCGAAGGCAGCCCCCUGGGUCAAAACUGACGCUCAUGCACGAAAGCGUGGGGAGCAAACAGGAUUAGAUACCCCGGU
rnacentral:rRNA from 1 species